rnacentral:rRNA from 1 species
UACGUAGGGGGCUAGCGUUGCUCGGAAUCACUGGGCGUAAAGCGCGCGUAGGCGGAUUGCUAAGUCAGGGGUGAAAUCCUGGAGCUCAACUCCAGAACUGCCUUUGAUACUGGCGGUCUCGAGUCCGGGAGAGGUGAGUGGAACUGCGAGUGUAGAGGUGAAAUUCGUAGAUAUUCGCAAGAACACCAGUGGCGAAGGCGGCUCACUGGCCCGGUACUGACGCUGAGGUGCGAAAGCGUGGGGAGCAAACAGG